GAUCAUCGUGGAAGUGGGUUGAUGGCUCGCCCUUUGAAAAAGAUUGGAGUUACAGAUAUGAGAGGUGUGGAACAAUAAGAGGUGGUGUCAUAAGCAGUGACACAUGCUAUUCUUAUCAGAAGAAGCCAUGGAUCUGUGAGAGGGCAUCCAGCCAACCCAGCUCACACAGGCUGUGGGUUCCUUGGAGUCCCUGAAGAGACAACCAAUGAGAGCCCUACAGGACCCUCCUCUCCCGCUGCUCCAGGCUCGGCUCCUGC